rnacentral:rRNA from 1 species
AAUAGAUACCCGGGUAGUCCACGCCGUAAACGAUGAGUGCUAGGUGUCAGGGGUUUCGAUCCCCUUGGUGCCGAAGUCAACACAGUAAGCACUCCGCCUGGGGAGUACGGUCGCAAGACUGAAACUCAAAGGAAUUGACGGGGACCCGCACAAGCAGUGGAGUAUGUGGUUUAAUUCGAAGCAACGCGAAGAACCUUACCAGGUCUUGACAUCCCUCUGAAUACCCUGGAGACAGGGUGGGCCUACGGGACAGAGGAGACAGGUGGUGCAUGGUUGUCGUCAGCUCGUGUCGUGAGAUGUUGGGUUAAGUCCCGCAACGAGCGCAACCCUUGAUUUUAGUUGCCAGCACGUAAAGGUGGGCACUCUAGAAUGACUGCCGGUGACAAACCGGAGGAAGGCGGGGAUGGCGUCAAAUCAUCAUGCCCCUUAUGACCUGGGCUACACACGUACUACAAUGGCCGGUACAACGGGAGGCGAAGGGGCGACCCGGAGCGAAUCCUUAAAAGCCGGUCUCAGUUCGGAUUGCAGGCUGCAACUCGCCUGC